rnacentral:rRNA from 1 species
UAGUCCACACCGUAAACGAUGGAUGCUAGCCGUUGGGCAGUUUACUGUUCAGUGGCGCAGCUAACGCAUUAAGCACACCGCCUGGGGAGUACGGUCGCAAGAUUAAAACUCAAAGGAAUUGACGGGGACCCGCACAAGCGGUGGAGCAUGUUGUUUAAUUCGAAGCAACGCGAAGAACCUUACCUACACUUGACAUACUCGUCGGGAAUUGCAGAGAUGCUUUUCUUCGGUUCGGCCGGACGAUGUACAGGUGCUGCACGGCUGUCGUCAGCUCGUGUCGUGAGAUGUUUGGUUAAGUCCAGCAACGAGCGCAACCCCUAUCGUAUGUUACCAGCAUUUAGUUGGGGACUCAUGCGAGACUGCCGGUGUUAAGCCGGAGGAAGGUGGGGACGACGUCAAGUCAUCAUGGUCCUUACGUGUAGGGCUACAAACGUGCUACAAUGGCUACUACAGUGGGCAGCGAGGUCGCGAGGCCAAGCUAAUCCCCAAAAGUAGUCUCAGUUCGGAGU